rnacentral:rRNA from 1 species
CGACGUGGGUAACCUGCCCUAUACACAUGGAUAACAUACUGAAAAGUUUACUAAUACAUGAUAAUAUAUAUUUGCGGCAUCGUAGAUAUAUCAAAGUGUUAGCGGUAUAGGAUGGACCCGCGUCUGAUUAGCUAGUUGGUGAGAUAACUGCCCACCAAGGCGACGAUCAGUAGCCGACCUGAGAGGGUGAUCGGCCACAUUGGAACUGAGACACGGUCCAAACUCCUACGGGAGGCAGCAGCC